UACGGAGGAGGCAAGCGUUAUCCGGAAUUAUUGGGCGUAAAGCGUCCGCAGGUGGCGAUUCAAGUCUGCGGUCAAAGACUGGGGCUUAACCCUGGAAAGGCCGUGGAAACUGAAAAGCUAGAGUGCAGUAGGGGUAGAGGGAAUUCCCGGUGUAGCGGUGAAAUGCGUAGAGCUCGGGAGGAACACCUGUGGUGAAAGCGGCUCACUGGACCAUAACUGACGCUGAGGCGCGAAAGCUAGGGGAGCAAACAGG
rnacentral:rRNA from 1 species